rnacentral:rRNA from 1 species
UGGAGAGUUUGAUCCUGGCUCAGGAUGAACGCUAGCGGCAGGCUUAACACAUGCAAGUCGAGGGGUAUGCCGAUUUAUCGGCAGAGACCGGCGCACGGGUGCGUAACGCGUAUGCAAUCUACCUUUUACAGAGGGAUAGCCCAGAGAAAUUUGGAUUAAUACCUCAUAGUAUARYRMMWYSGCAUSRWKRWRYUAUUAAAGUCACAACGGUAAAAGAUGAGCAUGCGUCCCAUUAGCUAGUUGGUAAGGUAACGGCUUACCAAGGCUACGAUGGGUAGGGGUCCUGAGAGGGAGAUCCCCCACACUGGUACUGAGACACGGACCAGACUCCUACGGGAGGCAGCAGUGAGGAAUAUUGGACAAUGGGCGCAAGCCUGAUCCAGCCAUGCCGCGUGCAGGAUGACGGUCCUAUGGAUUGUAAACUGCUUUUGUACGAGAAGAAACACCCCUUCGUGAAGGGACUUGACGGUAUCGUAAGAAUAAGGAUCGGCUAACUCCGUGCCAGCAGCCGCGGUA